rnacentral:siRNA from 1 species
CUGCCGCCGGUUGGGCCACCACUG